CUUCUCUUGAGAGCGGCGGACGGGUGAGUAAUACCUAGGAAUCUGCCUGAUAGUGGGGGAUAACGUUCGGAAACGGACGCUAAUACCGCAUACGUCCUACGGGAGAAAGCAGGGGACCUUCGGGCCUUGCGCUAUCAGAUGAGCCUAGGUCGGAUUAGCUAGUUGGUGAGGUAAUGGCUCACCAAGGCUACGAUCCGUAACUGGUCUGAGAGGAUGAUCAGUCACACUGGAACUGAGACACGGUCCAGACUCCUACGGGAGGCAGCAGUGGGGAAUAUUGGACAAUGGGCGAAAGCCUGAUCCAGCCAUGCCGCGUGUGUGAAGAAGGUCUUCGGAUUGUAAAGCACUUUAAGUUGGGAGGAAGGGCA
rnacentral:rRNA from 1 species